CGUUAUUGUAGUUAUUUAUUUAGUAUAAGGUUUUUUUCCCUCCUGCGUGGAGAACAAAACAAUAGAAUUACAUUACGUAAACGAGUAGAAUAAUAACAAAGAUAAAUGGAAUGAGUAAAAAAUCUGUACGUACUCAUUAAUUAAAAAAACAGCAACAACAAUGAACUUUACCUACAAUGAUAUUUAAACCAAAAAACACGCAAAACGAUGCGGCUGUUUUCAAGUUUUACCGAUCGUAACUCGCUAUAUAAACUCCCAAUAUUGUUGUGAGAAUCGGAAUAAUUUCUACAAUGAAGUUGCUGCUUGUCGUCUUUCUGCUUUUCAUUACUGAACGAUGGUCGGUAGUAUCGAGUCGUACGUUGUAUGCCCAUGCUGUUAAAGCGGCUUCACCCAUAAAGACGUGUACGUCUGCUCAGGUGAAUGGUGUGUGCCACGAAGAAUGCGUCAAACGAUAUUGGAAUUUCUGUACAAAAGUGACUCCCAUCUGUCGCUGUCCAUAAUAAGGAGUAGCGGUUGUCGGAAUCUUGUGCAUUCGUAUCCUUGUGAAGAAUAACACAAAUCUACGAGUGUAAUGAUUUAAUAUCAUUGUCAAUUUCCGCAGUAAAAUUACAUUCUACGUUUAACAGAAAAAUUGUAUGAUGUUCUAUUGUAUGUAGCUCUCGGGGAAUGUUCGUGGGAACGUCCGGACAUUAAUAGUUCUCUGUCUGGCAAUUCUACUAUUACAACUAACAACUAUUUGCUAUUGUACAAAAAUAAAAAAAAAACUAACAGAAUAUUUAAAUACUGUAUAAUAUGACAGUAAUUUCAAAAUAAAAAAUAAAAUUAUUAAUUCA